GACUCAAAUGUCAACCCUGCGGGUUUGCUGAAUCAUAUUGAGACUUUGGUUACAAAUGAUAUGAACGAUAAAUUAAUGUAAGAGAUUACGGGAAAAGGGAUCAGCGAUGCCUUUUUCCAGAUUGGUCCGCUAAAAUCCCCGGGGUCGAACAGUUUCUCCGUGUGUUUUUACCAGCGAAACUAGGAUGUUCUAAAAGAAGAGGUGGUUGGGAGUGUUAAGCAAUUCUUUACAGAUGGUGCCAUGCCGAGUGAGUUGAAUACUACUACUAUUGUUCUCAUUCCCAAGACUAACCAAGCGGUGGAGUUAAAAGAUCUUCGGUCAAUCUCUUUAUGCAAUGUUAUUUACAAAGUGGUGUCGAAGUGCAUUGUGAGCCGCUUGAGACCGCUCCUAGACGACCUUAUUGGCAUUGAACAAAGCGCUUUCAUCCCAAGAAGGCUCAUUAGUGAUAACACUCUUAUCAUGUUUGAAUGCUUCCAUGUCAUCCAAAGGGGGAGUGCAAGUGACUCUUUCUGCGCAUUCAAGAUGGACCUUUCAAAAGCUUAUGAUCGUGUGGACUAGAAGUAUUUAAAGGGUGUGCACACUAAGUUGGGUUCCAACCCCGUAUGGGUGAGUUGGGUCAUGGCGUGUGUCAUUUCUGGCCGUUAUGCUAUAAAAAUGAAUGGGGAGCUUUCCGAGGAGUUCUCCCCUUCCAGAGGUUUACGUUAGGGUAGUCCUCUUUCUCCCUACCUGUUGCUCUUUGUCGCUGAUGGUCUUUCCAGAUUACUGAAGAAUGAGGUAAAUAAGGGUGAACUCGGAGAACUAAAGUUUGCUCAUUCUGCCUCUAGGAUAUCUCACUUAUUUUUCGCUGAUGAUAUUACCCUAUUUUCAAAGAAAUUGCAGCAACCUUCUGUGGUAAAAAUGGCAAUUCAGGAGUUUGUUAGGAGCACAGGCCAACUGGCUAUCCAUGAGAAAUGUUCCCUCCUUUUCAAUUAUGAGUGCCCUGUAACCAGGUUGGAAGAAGUGAAGGAAGUUCUUUGUGUCCAAAAUUGUACUUUCGAGGAGAAAUACCUAGGGCUCCCCAUGCCAGAAGGGCGGAUGAAGGCUGAGAAGUUUCAGCCUAUUAACGAUAGGUUUAGCAAAAGACUCUUGGACUGGAAUGAAAAAUAUAUAGCCAUGGCUAGAAAAGAGGUUCUCACAAAAUCCGUUGCUCAGGUGCCUCCCACUUACACGAUGAGUGUGUUCAAGAUGCCGAUGAGUUUCCAUGAAGAUUAUAUGAAAGUCAUUAGGCAAUUCUUCUAGGGGGAGGAGAAAGGACAGAGGAGGGUUCAUUGGGCCUCUUGAUAAUGCUUGAUCAAACCUAAAACCCAGGGGGGAAUAGGUUUUCGUGACACUUGUUGCUUCAACCAGACUCUCUUAGCGCGACGGGCUUGGAGAUUAAUCCAGCCGCCAGAGAGUUUAUGUGCCCGCCUCUUCAAAGCAAGGUGCUACCCUAACGACAAUGUCCUUGAUACAGUGUUCUCUGGUGAAGCAUCACAAGUGUGGAGGGGAAUCAAAUUUGGUUUUGAGCUAUUGAGGAAAGGAGUAAUCUGGAGGAUUGGAAAUGGAAAUUCCAUCUGUAUUUGGAGGGAUAAUUGGAUUCCUAUAGAACCAUCCCUAAAAAUCAUUGGCAACAGGAAACGGUCCAGGACUCGCAGAGUGUGUGAUCUCUUAUUACAUGAGAGUAAGGAAUGGAAUGAGGAGUUGGUGAGAGAGGUGUUUUGGCCAAAUGACGCGGAGGUGAUCUUAAAGUUAAAGAUCCCUAUACAUGAGAUGGAGCAUGCUCCGGCUUGGCACUAUGAAUCGUCCGGGCAUUUCUCUGUCCGUAGUGCCUACAAGCUGGCAUAUAAUUUGAAGCACUGUAAUGCCAACCAGACCCGAAGUAGCAAUGCUCCUAAGGGGGCAGGAAUAUGUGGAAGUUGGUGUGGAAUGCAGAUAUCCCAAACAAGGUCCGGUCCUUUGGUUGGAGGUUGGCCUCUGAUAAUCUUGCUACAAAGCAGAACAAAUGCAAAAGGAAUCUGGAUAUAG
rnacentral:rRNA from 1 species